AUUGAACGCUGGCGGCAGGCUUAACACAUGCAAGUCGAGCGGGGGAAGGUAGCUUGCUACCGGACCUAGCGGCGGACGGGUGAGUAAUGCUUAGGAAUCUGCCUAUUAGUGGGGGACAACAUCUCGAAAGGGAUGCUAAUACCGCAUACGUCCUACGGGAGAAAGCAGGGGAUCUUCGGACCUUGCGCUAAUAGAUGAGCCUAAGUCGGAUUAGCUAGUUGGUGGGGUAAAGGCCUACCAAGGCGACGAUCUGUAGCGGGUCUGGGAGGAUGAUCCGCCACACUGGGACUGAGACAGGGCCCAGACUGCUACGGGAGGAAGCAGUGGGGAAUAUUGGACAAUGGGGGGAACCCUGAUCUAGGCAUGCCGCGUGUGUGAAGAAGGCCUUAUGGUUGUAAAGCACUUUAAGCGAGGAGGAGGCUACUCUAGUUAAUACCUAGGGAUAGUGGACGUUACUCGCAGAAUAAGCACCGGCUAACUCUGUGCCAGCCGCCGCCGUAA
rnacentral:rRNA from 1 species